AUAUCAAUAAGCGGAGGAAAAGAAACCAACAGGGAUUGCCCCAGUAACGGCGAGUGAAGCGGCAACAGCUCAAAUUUGAAAUCUGGCCCUGUUAGGGGUCCGAGUUGUAAUUUGGAGAGGAUGCUUCGGGCGAGAGCGUGGUUUAAAUCUCUUGGAACAGGGUAUCACAGAGGGUGAGAGUCCCGUCUUUAACCGCGAGUCAAGCCCGUGUGAAGCUCCUUCGACGAGUCGGGUUGUUUGGGAAUGCAGCUCAAAAUGGGUGGUAAAUUUCAUCUAAAGCUAAAUAUUGGCCAGAGACCGAUAGCGCACAAGUAGAGUGAUCGAAAGAUGAAAAGCACUUUGAAAAGAGAGUUAAACAGCAUGUGAAAUUGUUGAAAGGGAAGCGCUUGCAACCAGACUUGUGGGCGGCAGUUCAGCCGUUAUUCUUAACGGUGCACUCUGCCGUUUCCGGGCCAGCAUCGGUUCAGGUAACCGGUUAAAGGCCUGGGGAACGUAUCUGCCUCUCGGGGCAGACUUAUAGCCCCAGGUGGCAUCCGGCUCAUCUGGACCGAGGCACGCGCUUCGGCACGGAUGCUGGCGUAAUGGUUGUAAGCGGCCCGUCUUGAAACACGGACCAAGGAGUCUAACAUCUAUGCGAGUGUUUGGGCGUUAAAACCCCAGCGCGGAAUGAAAGUGAACGGAGGUAGGAGCCCUCUGGGCGCACUAUCGACCGAUCCUGAUGUCUUCGGAUGGAUUUGAGUAAGAGCAUAGCUGUUGGGACCCGAAAGAUGGUGAACUAUGCCUGAAUAGGGUGAAGCCAGAGGAAACUCUGGUGGAGGCUCGCAGCGGUUCUGACGUGCAAAUCGAUCGUCAAAUUUAGGCAUAGGGGCGAAAGGUAAGCGUUCUUUUUAAUCUGAAAUAUAUUCUGUAGACUCUGGGCUAAUUUUUUCUCUGUAGACUAAUCGAACCAUCUGGUAGCUGGUUCCUGCCGAAGUUUCCCUCAGGAUAGCAGUAACGUCUUCAGUUUUAUGAGGUAAAGCAAUGAUUAGCGGCCUUGGGGAAGUAACUUCCUUAACCGAUUCUCAAACUUUAAAUAUGUAAGAAGUCCUUGUUACUUAAUUGAACGUGGACAUUUGAAUGUACCGUUACUAGUGGGCCAUUUUUGGUAAGCAGAACUGGCGAUGCGGGAUGAACCGAACGCGAGGUUAAGGUGCCGGAAUGCACGCUCAUCAGACCCCACAAAAGGUGUUAGUUCAUCUUGACAGCCUGACGGUGGCCAUGGAAGCCGGAAUCCGCUUAGGAGUGCGUAACAGCUCACAGGCCGAAUGAACUAGCCCUGAAAAUGGAUGGCGCUCAAGCGUGCUACCCAUACCUCGCCGUUAAAGUUUUAACGAUGCUUUAACGAGUAGGCAGGCGUGGAGGUUUGUGACGAAGCCUUGGGGGUGACCCCGGGUCGAACAACCUCUAGUG
rnacentral:rRNA from 1 species